UACAGAGGGGGCAAGCGUUAUUCGGAAUUAUUGGGCGUAAAGGGCGCGUAGGCGGCUUUUCAAGUGGCGGGGGAACGCCCUCGGCUUAACCGAGGAACUGCCUGCCAGACUGAAUGGCUUGAGACCGGGAGAGGUGAGUGGAAUUCCCAGUGUAGCGGUGAAAUGCGUAGAUAUUGGGAGGAACACCAGUGGCGAAGGCGGCUCACUGGACCGGUACUGACGCUGAGGCGCGAAAGCGUGGGGAGCAAACAGG
rnacentral:rRNA from 1 species